CUUGUUUCAUUUGCAUACCCAAUUUCGUACCUAAUUUGUUAACUCAGUAUACAAAAAAAACUGUGUUUGUUCUGUAUUCUAAAUUUGUUAGAUAAAUAAGUAGGUAGUGUUCUUCGUUAAGACGCACAUCACUCACAAGUCACAUCAGUGUUUCAGUGUAUUAAUCUUUGAAGUGAUAAAGAAUUUUGUGUCAUAAAAAAGCAUUUUUUGAAAGUAUAAUUAUAUUUUUUAUAUAACUUAAAAGUUAUUUGUCGAUUAGCAUAUUAAUGUAAAUAAUAUCAAGAUUAAAUAAGUUCAAUACAAAAACUGAACCAUAAUAAUAUUGUGUUAAACAAAAAAAAGUGUACUAUAAACUUCUCUCUAGACGUUUACUCGGUGUAUUGUGUACAAAAUACGAACUUGUGGACUAAUUUAGAAAGAUAAAAAUUUGUGUUGUGUGUAAAGCUUCGUUUUUUGUUUAAUUACCUACGUAAAACAUUUAAGGUUAGUAAAAAUCAUUGAAAAAAUACAUUACAAUUCUUUACUAUUUUUAAAAUAAUUUUAUAUUUCAAUAAUCUGUUUUUUUCAGAUGGCUUUUAUGUAUGCAUUAGUUUUAUUUUUAAAUGAUUCAUCCAAUAAAGAAAUUGAUAUAUUGAAUAUCGUGGUACCGGAUGUAAAUAGCCCGAAUCAUUGUUAAAAAGUACUAAGUAUUGUAAAUUAUUACAAAUGAUAGUUAAACAUUGUGAAGGGUCUGCCCGACAUGGCCAACGUUUUAUGUUCAAAUAAGUGGCACAGCAGGUAAAUUAUUAUUUAAAUUAUAGAUUUUUAAGAAUUGUUAUUUCAUUGUCAUAAUAAUAAGAAAGUAAUUCAUAAUUACAAUUAAUAUUAUCAGAAACAAUGGAAGAGGCAGAGAAAAAAUUAAUAAGAUUAAAAAGAACCCCUAUUCUUCUCUACCAAUAAUGAGUAGUCUGCUAAAGCAAAGGAUUGAUUAAAAAUAGAUAAUAUAUUUAGCUAAAUAGCUUUAGAGUUAACUGACGAACCCACUGAAAUUGCAGAACUAAGAAAUAAAAGCCAAAAAAAUUUAACCAAAAAAUUGUGAAGAAACAAGCCUAAAAACAUAGUCUCAAAUGGUCAUCUACAUCAAUAGCGUCUUCGAUAUCUUCAUCACCACCGUCAUCGUUAUGUAAACCUAUGAAAAUAAAUAAUGAAACUAAAAAAACGAAUUAAUGACAGUACUAACUACAUAGUUGGCUCAAAAAAAAGGAAAAAAUUAGUUCAUAAUCUACACUAUACCACCUUGAUCAUCUUCAUCAUCACCAUCAAAUAAACGUAGAAAAAUAAGAAAAAUCAACUCGAAUUUGAAGGACAUAAAUAUGCGUAUGGAAAUAGCACAUGAAGACAGUACAUUAGCAACAAUUGCUGAUAAUCCCUUUUCAUCAUCAUCAUAAAUCUGAAACAGAAGCUGAAAUGAAUAUAUUAGCAGCUAGAUCAUCAUCAACAAAAAAUACUGUAUCCAGUGAUUCUUUGCUGGAAUGUAUCAAACAUAAUUAUAACAGUCUAUCAAAACAAUUAGCGAAUUUAAAAGGCCAUAUCUGCUGACGUUACCAAAUCCUAUCUGAAAUAAAAAAAAAAAUAACAGUACUCAGCUGUUAGAUUUCAGUUUAUUAACAGAUCCUGAAGGAAAUCCAGUGGUCCAAAAAUUAGAAUUUCCGCUAUCAACAAUGGAAGAUAUUAUUUUGAUAAAUUCAAUGAAAAAUUAAAAGGCGAAAAAUAUAAAAAUAAAAUGGUAAGUUUUUAAUAAACUAUAUUUUUAUAUACAAAUAUAUUAAAGAUCUAAUAUAGUGGCUCUAUCUGACAAUAUUGAAAUUGUCAUAUUUGAUAAAAUGCUAAUCAUAAUAAUUAAUUAAUCAUACACAUAAUUAUAAUAAAUUUUCUUUUCCAGAAUAAACGUAUAUACUUUUCUCUUGAUGGAAAAAAUACUUUUACCCGUAAUAUGGGAAAUAUUAAUCGUGUUUAUAUAACAAGAGAUGUCAUAUGUAGCAGUUAAAUCAACUUCAAAAAAAAGUUUUCAAAGAUACGAAUUUUUCACUUCUAUAAAAACUGCAGUAAGACAGAAAUUCGAAAAUAAUCAAGAAAGUAUUUUCGAUAAUAAAUUCCAUCAAGCAUUGUCUGCAGUAUUGAAUAAUGCUAAUAUAAUAAUAAAGAUUGGGAUGGGUACAGGGUAUCCAGGAUCAAAAAACUACCAAUCUAAUGAAGAUAAAUAAAAACAACUAAUCGCUUUUAAUUUAUUUACUUUUUUAAAAUCUUUUUUUUUUUGCUGUGUAAAAUAUUUUGCUAAGCAAACAAAAAGAAAAAUUAAUUCAUAAUAUUUAAUAACAAUCAUUAUUAUUAUUAAUUAACUAUAACAUAAAAAUAAUUGAUAUUUAAAGUAAAAACAAAAAUAAAUAAUACAUUUGAAAAAAUAAAUGGAUAUAAAUAUGUUUUUUUUUUCAAUCGGAUAAGUUUUAUUUCUGUUUAAGUGCACAAUAAAGUGUAUUGUUAUGUUAUGUUAAAUAUAUAUAAUAUGUUAUUUUAAAUAUACAUAAUAUGUUAUUUUAAAUAUACAUAGUAUGUUAAGUAACAUAAUAUCAUUUCUUUUUUUUUUUUUUGACGUGACGUCUAAUAAAUCGAUUAACGCCGGCUUCGUUACGCUCAUAUGUAUACUUGUGCCGCAUCUAUCUGAUCGGCCUAUGCAUCCGAGGAGAUGUUUUGUUAUGACGGUUUGCAGACAACCAAGUUUUUUAAUAAACAAUUUUGUCAAGACUGUACAUUCGUGUUUUAUUUAAAAGGACCGCGCUGGGCAUACUCGAUUUGGAUCAAGCAACCAAGGACCGGACCGUGCAUGCCUGAUCAGGACUAGAUAAGGCAUGUAACGCAGAUGAUGUAUCUGGACCUGACCAGGGAAACCUGAUCAGGUCCAGAUCAGGUAUGACCUGAGAUCAGGAAAACCUGAUCAGGUCCAGAUCAGGUUGUCCUGAUCAGGUCCAGAUACAUCAUCUGCGUUACAUGCCUUAUCUAGUCCUGAUCAGGCAUGCACGGUCCGGUCCU
rnacentral:misc_RNA from 1 species